UACGUAGGGCGCAAGCGUUGUCCGGAAUUAUUGGGCGUAAAGAGCUCGUAGGCGGUUUGUUGCGUCUGUCGUGAAAGCCCACAGCUUAACUGUGGGUCUGCGGUGGAUACGGGCAGACUUGAGGCAGGUAGGGGAGAAUGGAAUUCCCGGUGUAGCGGUGAAAUGCGCAGAUAUCGGGAGGAACACCGGUGGCGAAGGCGGUUCUCUGGGCCUGUACUGACGCUGAGGAGCGAAAGCGUGGGGAGCAAACGGG
rnacentral:rRNA from 1 species